GCCUGCUAGCCGCGCUCGCGCUCGCCGGUGCCUCCUCCUUCGGCCCACUCCUCACCUCCCUCCUCAAGAAACAGAACAACAUGACGCAGAUGCUGCAGCACACGGUGAUCCCGGAGCGGCCCAUGUUCUACCCGGAGUACCCGCUGCAGGAGCCGGAGCAAGGGGUGGUGACGCUGGAGGAAGACAGGGACCCUGUGGAGAGAGUUGAGGAAGCACUGCAGUGCCUCGCUCAAGAUCUACUUUGAGAGCAUCCUCGACACUAGCAGCAAGAAACCUCC